rnacentral:hammerhead_ribozyme from 1 species
GGACUACUGAGGAGUCCCAUACUAGGACGAAACGGCCGUUCAGUAC